AGAGUUUGAUCAUGGCUCAGGACGAACGCUGGCGGCGUGCCUAAUACAUGCAAGUAGAACGCUGACUACUUUAGCUUGCUAGAGUAGAAGGAGUUGCGAACGGGUGAGUAACGCGUAGGUAACCUGCCUACUAGCGGGGGAUAACUAUUGGAAACGAUAGCUAAUACCGCAUAACAGUGUUUAACACAUGUUAGAUGCUUGAAAGAUGCAAAUGCAUCACUAGUAGAUGGACCUGCGUUGUAUUAGCUAGUUGGUGGGGUAACGGCCUACCAAGGCGACGAUACAUAGCCGACCUGAGAGGGUGAUCGGCCACACUGGGACUGAGACACGGCCCACACUCCUACGGGAGGCAGCAGUAGGGAAUCUUCGGCAAUGGGGGCAACCCUGACCGAGCAACGCCGCGUGAGUGAAGAAGGUUUUCGGAUCGUAAAGCUCUGUUGUAAGAGAAGAACGUGUGUGAGAGUGGAAAGUUCACACAGUGACGGUAACUUACCAGAAAGGGACGGCUAACUACGUGCCAGCAGCCGCGGUAAUACGUAGGUCCCGAGCGUUGUCCGGAUUUAUUGGGCGUAAAGCGAGCGCAGGCGGUUUAAUAAGUCUGAAGUUAAAGGCAGUUGCUUAACCAUUGUUCGCUUUGGAAACUGUUAAACUUGAGUGCAGAAGGGGAGAGUGGAAUUCCAUGUGUAGCGGUGAAAAUGCGUAGAUAUAUGGAGGAACACCGGUGGCGAAAGCGGCUCUCUGGUCUGUAACUGACGCUGAGGCUCGAAAGCGUGGGGAGCAAACAGGAUUAGAUACCCUGG
rnacentral:rRNA from 1 species